CCUACGGGAGGCAGCAGUGGGGAAUAUUGGACAAUGGGCGAAAGCCUGAUCCAGCAAUGCCGCGUGAGUGAUGAAGGCCUUCGGGUCGUAAAGCUCUUUUACCAGGGAUGAUAAUGACAGUACCUGGAGAAUAAGCUCCGGCUAACUCCGUGCCAGCAGCCGCGGUAAUACGGAGGGAGCUAGCGUUGUUCGGAAUUACUGGGCGUAAAGAGUACGUAGGCGGUUAUUCAAGUCAGAGGUGAAAGCCCGGGGCUCAACCCCGGAACUGCCUUUGAAACUAGAUAACUAGAGUCUUGGAGAGGUUAGUGGAAUUCCGAGUGUAGAGGUGAAAUUCGUAGAUAUUCGGAAGAACACCAGUGGCGAAGGCGACUAACUGGACAAGUACUGACGCUGAGGUACGAAAGCGUGGGGAGCAAACAGGAUUAGAUACCCUGGUAGUCCACGCCGUAAACGAUGAUAACUAGUUGUUCGGUCACUUGGUAGACUGAGUGACGCAGCUAACGCAUUAAGUUAUCCGCCUGGGGAUACGGUGCAGAUUAAACUCAAAUGAAUUGACGG
rnacentral:rRNA from 1 species